AAACGUCGCAGUGUGGGUCGCUGGGUAACGAUAUGUAAAGUAAUCGCCGGACGGGAUCUGAGGAGGUAAAUGAGCGCGUUUCUCCCGGUGUUGAUGAUUAUUGCCUCGCGGAUUGUGUCGAGCUCCCGCCGCAGCUCUCGCUUUGGCUGAGAGAGAGUCUGAGCUCUUGCUCUUGGAGGCUCCUGUCCAGCCUCUGUGUCUCUGACUCCAGCACUGAUGGGACGAGAUGCUGGGACACCACUGCUAGAGAUUCAUUCAGAUCCUGUCUCAGAGACAUCACACUCUGACUGUUCUUCAGCGAGCGAUCUAUAAACUCUGCUUUCUGCUUAUGAUCAGCAGCCAACAUGAGACGCAGAUGGUGAACCUAGGAAAGUUGGUUAAAGUUGAUUUCAAUCCAAAUUCUAAGGGCAGUCUCCGCUUGAGCGAUGAUGGAGAGGACAGUGGACAGUCCUUCACUGGAUACAUCCUCUACAGACUGCUCGCUUAUCUGCUGAGAGUUCAAAACCCCCCACUGCGCACAAAAAAUGAAUCACUUACAUUCAU